rnacentral:rRNA from 1 species
AGAGUUUGAUCCUGGCUCAGGAUGAACGCUGGCGGCGUGCCUAACACAUGCAAGUCGAACGAAGCACUGUGACCGGAGAUUCGUCGAAGGUUACUUUGACUUAGUGGCGGACGGGCGAGUAAUGUGUGAGCAACCUGCCUUUCAGAGGGGGACAACAGCUGGAAACGGCUGCUAAUACCGCAUAACGUGCAUUGGAGGCAUCUUCGAUGCACCAAAGGAGUAAUCCGCUGAAAGAUGGGCUCAUAUCUGAUUAGUUAGUUGGUGAGGUAACGGCUCACCAAGACUGCGAUCAGUAGCCGGACUGAGAGGUUGAACGGCCACAUUGGGACUGAGAUACGGCCCAGACUCCUACGGGAGGCAGCAGUGGGGAAUAUUGGGCAAUGGGCGAAAGCCUGACCCAGCAACGCCGCGUGAAGGAAGAAGGUCUUCGGAUUGUAAACUUCUUUUAUGAGGGACGAAGGACGUGACGGUACCUCAUGAAUAAGCCACGGCUAACUACGUGCCAGCAGCCGCGGUAAUACGGAGGAUGCAAGCGUUAUCCGGAUUUAUUGGGUUUAAAGGGUGCGUAGGCGGAUGAUUAAGUCAGUGGUGAAAGGUCCCGGCUCAACCGGGGAGCUGCCAUUGAUACUGGUUGUCUUGAAUGCGGAUGCCGUGGGAGGAAUGUGUGGUGUAGCGGUGAAAUGCAUAGAUAUCACACAGAACACCGAUUGCGAAGGCAUCUCACGAAUCCGUUAUUGACGCUGAGGCACAAAAGCGUGGGGGAUCAAACAGGAUUAGAUACCCUGGUAGUCCACGCAGUAAAACGAUGAUGGCUAACCGCCGGGCGAAUACACAGUCGGUGGCCAAGCGGAAGCGAUAAGCCAUCCACCUGGGGAGUACGACCGCAAGGUUGAAACUCAAAGGAAUUGACGGGGGCCCGCACAAGCGGUGGAGCAUGUGGUUUAAUUCGAUGAUACGCGAGGAGCCUUACCCGGGUUAGAACGCGCGGCGGCGGGGUCCGAGAGGGCUCUUUCCUUCGGGACGCUGCGCGAGGUGCUGCAUGGUUGUCGUCAGCUCGUGCCGUGAGGUGUCGGGUUAAGUCCCAUAACGAGCGCAACCCCUACCGACAGUUGCCAUCGGGUGAAGCCGGGCACUCUGUCGGGACUGCCCGCGCAAGCGGAGAGGAGGGCGGGGAUGACGUCAAAUCAGCACGGCCCUUACGUCCGGGGCGACACACGUGCUACAAUGGCCGGUACAGAGGGGGGCUGUCCCGCGAGGGUCGGCGGAUCCGGAAAAGCCGGUCUCAGUUCGGAUCGGAGUCUGCAACCCGACUCCGUGAAGCUGGAAUCGCUAGUAAUCGCGCAUCAGCCAUGGCGCGGUGAAUACGUUCCCGGGCCUUGCACUCACCGCCGGUCA